rnacentral:rRNA from 1 species
UUCGCAAUGCCCGAAAGGGUGACGAUGCGACGCCGCGUGAGCGAAGAAGGCCCUAGGGUUGUAAAGCUCCGUCGAGGGUUAUGAAAUAUAGAUGGGUUAAUACCCCAUUUAUUUGACAAAAGCCCAAAAGGAAGCCACGGCUAACUCUGUGCCAGCAGCCGCGGUAAUACAGAGGUGGCAAGCGUUGUUCGGUAUUAUUGGGCGUAAAGAGCACGUAGGUGGUUCUGUAAGUCAGAUGUGAAAGCCUUCUGUUCAAAGGAAGAACGGCAUCUGAAACUACAGAUCUUGAGUGUAGGAGGGGAGAGUGGAACUUCUGGUGGAGCGGUGAAAUGCGUAGAUAUCAGAAGGAACGUCGGCGGCGAAAGCGACUCUCUGGCCUAUUACUGACACUGAGGUGCGAAAGUUAGGGGAGCAAACGGGAUUAGAUACCCCGGUAGUCCUAACCGUAAACGAUGGGCACUAAGUAGAGGGGUUUU